rnacentral:snRNA from 1 species
GUGCUUGUUUUGGUAGCACAUGUACAAAGAAUAGAAAGGGUGCCGAGAUUAGCAUGGGCCCUGAAGAAGGCUAGCAUGCAAAUGCAGGAAGCAGUCCAUAUUUAU